AUCCUCCAAGGCUAAAUACUCCUGACUGACCGAUAGUGAACCAGUACCGUGAGGGAAAGGCGAAAAGAACCCCGGCGAGGGGAGUGAAAAAGAACCUGAAACCGUGUACGUACAAGCAGUGGGAGCACGCUUAGGCGUGUGACUGCGUACCUUUUGUAUAAUGGGUCAGCGACUUAUAUUCUGUAGCAAGGUUAACCGAAUAGGGGAGCCGAAGGGAAACCGAGUCUUAACUGGGCGUUAAGUUGCAGGGUAUAGACCCGAAACCCGGUGAUCUAGCCAUGGGCAGGUUGAAGGUUGGGUAACACUAACUGGAGGACCGAACCGACUAAUGUUGAAAAAUUAGCGGAUGACUUGUGGCUGGGGGUGAAAGGCCAAUCAAACCGGGAGAUAGCUGGUUCUCCCCGAAAGCUAUUUAGGUAGCGCCUCGUGAAUUCAUCUCCGGGGGUAGAGCACUGUUUCGGCAAGGGGGUCAUCCCGACUUACCAACCCGAUGCAAACUGCGAAUACCGGAGAAUGUUAUCACGGGAGACACACGGCGGGUGCUAACGUCCGUCGUGAAGAGGGAAACAACCCAGACCGCCAGCUAAGGUCCCAAAGUCAUGGUUAAGUGGGAAACGAUGUGGGAAGGCCCAGACAGCCAGGAUGUUGGCUUAGAAGCAGCCAUCAUUUAAAGAAAGCGUAAUAGCUCACUGGUCGAGUCGGCCUGCGCGGAAGAUGUAACGGGGCUAAACCAUGCACCGAAGCUGCGGCAGCGACGCUUAUGCGUUGUUGGGUAGGGGAGCGUUCUGUAAGCCUGUGAAGGUGUGCUGUGAGGCAUGCUGGAGGUAUCAGAAGUGCGAAUGCUGACAUAAGUAACGAUAAAGCGGGUGAAAAGCCCGCUCGCCGGAAGACCAAGGGUUCCUGUCCAACGUUAAUCGGGGCAGGGUGAGUCGACCCCUAAGGCGAGGCCGAAAGGCGUAGUCGAUGGGAAACAGGUUAAUAUUCCUGUACUUGGUGUUACUGCGAAGGGGGGACGGAGAAGGCUAUGUUGGCCGGGCGACGGUUGUCCCGGUUUAAGCGUGUAGGCUGGUUUUCCAGGCAAAUCCGGAAAAUCAAGGCUGAGGCGUGAUGACGAGGCACUACGGUGCUGAAGCAACAAAUGCCCUGCUUCCAGGAAAAGCCUCUAAGCAUCAGGUAACAUCAAAUCGUACCCCAAACCGACACAGGUGGUCAGGUAGAGAAUACCAAGGCGCUUGAGAGAACUCGGGUGAAGGAACUAGGCAAAAUGGUGCCGUAACUUCGGGAGAAGGCACGCUGAUAUGUAGGUGAAGUCCCUCGCGGAUGGAGCUGAAAUCAGUCGAAGAUACCAGCUGGCUGCAACUGUUUAUUAAAAACACAGCACUGUGCAAACACGAAAGUGGACGUAUACGGUGUGACGCCUGCCCGGUGCCGGAAGGUUAAUUGAUGGGGUCAGCGCAAGCGAAGCUCUUGAUCGAAGCCCCGGUAAACGGCGGCCGUAACUAUAACGGUCCUAAGGUAGCGAAAUUCCUUGUCGGGUAAGUUCCGACCUGCACGAAUGGCGUAAUGAUGGCCAGGCUGUCUCCACCCGAGACUCAGUGAAAUUGAACUCGCUGUGAAGAUGCAGUGUACCCGCGGCAAGACGGAAAGACCCCGUGAACCUUUACUAUAGCUUGACACUGAACAUUGAGCCUUGAUGUGUAGGAUAGGUGGGAGGCUUAGAAGUGUGGACGCCAGUCUGCAUGGAGCCGACCUUGAAAUACCACCCUUUAAUGUUUGAUGUUCUAACGUUGACCCGUAAUCCGGGUUGCGGACAGUGUCUGGUGGGUAGUUUGACUGGGGCGGUCUCCUCCUAAAGAGUAACGGAGGAGCACGAAGGUUGGCUAAUCCUGGUCGGACAUCAGGAGGUUAGUGCAAUGGCAUAAGCCAGCUUGACUGCGAGCGUGACGGCGCGAGCAGGUGCGAAAGCAGGUCAUAGUGAUCCGGUGGUUCUGAAUGGAAGGGCCAUCGCUCAACGGAUAAAAGGUACUCCGGGGAUAACAGGCUGAUACCGCCCAAGAGUUCAUAUCGACGGCGGUGUUUGGCACCUCGAUGUCGGCUCAUCACAUCCUGGGGCUGAAGUAGGUCCCAAGGGUAUGGCUGUUCGCCAUUUAAAGUGGUACGCGAGCUGGGUUUAGAACGUCGUGAGACAGUUCGGUCCCUAUCUGCCGUGGGCGCUGGAGAACUGAGGGGGGCUGCUCCUAGUACGAGAGGACCGGAGUGGACGCAUCACUGGUGUUCGGGUUGUCAUGCCAAUGGCACUGCCCGGUAGCUAAAUGCGGAAGAGAUAAGUGCUGAAAGCAUCUAAGCACGAAACUUGCCCCGAGAUGAGUUCUCCCUGACUCCUUGAGAGUCCUGAAGGAACGUUGAAGACGACGACGUUGAUAGGCCGGGUGUGUAAGCGCAGCGAUGCGUUGAGCUAACCGGUACUAAUGAACCGUGAGGCUUAACCUU
rnacentral:rRNA from 2 species